GAUGAACGCUGGCGGCGUGCCUAACACAUGCAAGUCGAACGGGGUUAUAACGCUGAGGAGACUUCGGUCAAAUCUUGUUGUAACCUAGUGGCGGACGGGUGAGUAACGCGUGGAUAACCUGCCAUACACAGGGGGAUAACAGUUAGAAAUGACUGCUAAUACCGCAUAAGCGCCCGAGGGGGCAUCCUCUCGAGUGAAAAGCGAAUACGGUGUAUGAUGGGUCCGCGUCCGAUUAGCCAGUUGGCGGGGUAAGAGCCCACCAAAGCGACGAUCGGUAGCCGGCCUGAGAGGGUGAACGGCCACAUUGGGACUGAGAGACGGCCCAAACUCC
rnacentral:rRNA from 1 species